rfam:Thermofilum adornatus chromosome, complete genome.
GGGCCCGUGGCGUAGCUAGGAAGCGUGGCGGCCUGCGGAGCCGUUGGUCCCGGGUUCAAGUCCCGGCGGGCCCG